GGGUUGUGAGGUUAAGCGACUAAGCGUACACGGUGGAUGCCCUGGCAGUCAGAGGCGAUGAAGGACGUGCUAAUCUGCGAUAAGCGUCGGUAAGGUGAUAUGAACCGUUAUAACCGGCGAUUUCCGAAUGGGGAAACCCAGUGUGAUUCGUCACACUAUCAUUAACUGAAUCCAUAGGUUAAUGAGGCGAACCGGGGGAACUGAAACAUCUAAGUACCCCGAGGAAAAGAAAUCAACCGAGAUUCCCCCAGUAGCGGCGAGCGAACGGGGAGGAGCCCAGAGCCUGAAUCAGUGUGUGUGUUAGUGGAAGCGUCUGGAAAGGCGCGCGAUACAGGGUGACAGCCCCGUACACAAAAAUGCACAUGCUGUGAGCUCGAUGAGUAGGGCGGGACACGUGGUAUCCUGUCUGAAUAUGGGGGGACCAUCCUCCAAGGCUAAAUACUCCUGACUGACCGAUAGUGAACCAGUACCGUGAGGGAAAGGCGAAAAGAACCCCGGCGAGGGGAGUGAAAAAGAACCUGAAACCGUGUACGUACAAGCAGUGGGAGCACAGAGCAAUCUGUGUGACUGCGUACCUUUUGUAUAAUGGGUCAGCGACUUAUAUUCUGUAGCAAGGUUAACCGAAUAGGGGAGCCGAAGGGAAACCGAGUCUUAACCGGGCGUUAAGUUGCAGGGUAUAGACCCGAAACCCGGUGAUCUAGCCAUGGGCAGGUUGAAGGUUGGGUAACACUAACUGGAGGACCGAACCGACUAAUGUUGAAAAAUUAGCGGAUGACUUGUGGCUGGGGGUGAAAGGCCAAUCAAACCGGGAGAUAGCUGGUUCUCCCCGAAAGCUAUUUAGGUAGCGCCUCGUGAAUUCAUCUCCGGGGGUAGAGCACUGUUUCGGCAAGGGGGUCAUCCCGACUUACCAACCCGAUGCAAACUGCGAAUACCGGAGAAUGUUAUCACGGGAGACACACGGCGGGUGCUAACGUCCGUCGUGAAGAGGGAAACAACCCAGACCGCCAGCUAAGGUCCCAAAGUCAUGGUUAAGUGGGAAACGAUGUGGGAAGGCCCAGACAGCCAGGAUGUUGGCUUAGAAGCAGCCAUCAUUUAAAGAAAGCGUAAUAGCUCACUGGUCGAGUCGGCCUGCGCGGAAGAUGUAACGGGGCUAAACCAUGCACCGAAGCUGCGGCAGCGACACUGUGUGUUGUUGGGUAGGGGAGCGUUCUGUAAGCCUGUGAAGGUGUGCUGUGAGGCAUGCUGGAGGUAUCAGAAGUGCGAAUGCUGACAUAAGUAACGAUAAAGCGGGUGAAAAGCCCGCUCGCCGGAAGACCAAGGGUUCCUGUCCAACGUUAAUCGGGGCAGGGUGAGUCGACCCCUAAGGCGAGGCCGAAAGGCGUAGUCGAUGGGAAACAGGUUAAUAUUCCUGUACUUGGUGUUACUGCGAAGGGGGGACGGAGAAGGCUAUGUUGGCCGGGCGACGGUUGUCCCGGUUUAAGCGUGUAGGCUGGUUUUCCAGGCAAAUCCGGAAAAUCAAGGCUGAGGCGUGAUGACGAGGCACUACGGUGCUGAAGCAACAAAUGCCCUGCUUCCAGGAAAAGCCUCUAAGCAUCAGGUAACAUCAAAUCGUACCCCAAACCGACACAGGUGGUCAGGUAGAGAAUACCAAGGCGCUUGAGAGAACUCGGGUGAAGGAACUAGGCAAAAUGGUGCCGUAACUUCGGGAGAAGGCACGCUGAUAUGUAGGUGAAGUCCCUCGCGGAUGGAGCUGAAAUCAGUCGAAGAUACCAGCUGGCUGCAACUGUUUAUUAAAAACACAGCACUGUGCAAACACGAAAGUGGACGUAUACGGUGUGACGCCUGCCCGGUGCCGGAAGGUUAAUUGAUGGGGUCAGCGCAAGCGAAGCUCUUGAUCGAAGCCCCGGUAAACGGCGGCCGUAACUAUAACGGUCCUAAGGUAGCGAAAUUCCUUGUCGGGUAAGUUCCGACCUGCACGAAUGGCGUAAUGAUGGCCAGGCUGUCUCCACCCGAGACUCAGUGAAAUUGAACUCGCUGUGAAGAUGCAGUGUACCCGCGGCAAGACGGAAAGACCCCGUGAACCUUUACUAUAGCUUGACACUGAACAUUGAGCCUUGAUGUGUAGGAUAGGUGGGAGGCUUUGAAGUGUGGACACCAGUCUGCAUGGAGCCGACCUUGAAAUACCACCCUUUAAUGUUUGAUGUUCUAACGUGGACCCGUGAUCCGGGUUGCGGACAGUGUCUGGUGGGUAGUUUGACUGGGGCGGUCUCCUCCUAAAGAGUAACGGAGGAGCACGAAGGUUGGCUAAUCCUGGUCGGACAUCAGGAGGUUAGUGCAAUGGCAUAAGCCAGCUUGACUGCGAGCGUGACGGCGCGAGCAGGUGCGAAAGCAGGUCAUAGUGAUCCGGUGGUUCUGAAUGGAAGGGCCAUCGCUCAACGGAUAAAAGGUACUCCGGGGAUAACAGGCUGAUACCGCCCAAGAGUUCAUAUCGACGGCGGUGUUUGGCACCUCGAUGUCGGCUCAUCACAUCCUGGGGCUGAAGUAGGUCCCAAGGGUAUGGCUGUUCGCCAUUUAAAGUGGUACGCGAGCUGGGUUUAGAACGUCGUGAGACAGUUCGGUCCCUAUCUGCCGUGGGCGCUGGAGAACUGAGGGGGGCUGCUCCUAGUACGAGAGGACCGGAGUGGACGCAUCACUGGUGUUCGGGUUGUCAUGCCAAUGGCACUGCCCGGUAGCUAAAUGCGGAAGAGAUAAGUGCUGAAAGCAUCUAAGCACGAAACUUGCCCCGAGAUGAGUUCUCCCUGACCCUUUAAGGGUCCUGAAGGAACGUUGAAGACGACGACGUUGAUAGGCCGGGUGUGUAAGCGCAGCGAUGCGUUGAGCUAACCGGUACUAAUGAACCGUGAGGCUUAACCUUACAACGCCGAAGGUGUUU
rnacentral:rRNA from 1 species